rnacentral:rRNA from 1 species
GGGGAAGUAUUGGACAAUGGGGGAAGCCCUGAUCCAGCCAUGCCGCGUGUGUGAAGAAGGCCUUAUGGUUGUAAAGCACUUUAAGCGAGGAGGAGGCUCUUUUGGUUAAUACCCAAGAUGAGUGGACGUUACUCGCAGAAUAAGCACCGGCUAACUCUGUGCCAGCAGCCGCGGUAAUACAGAGGGUGCGAGCGUUAAUCGGAUUUACUGGGCGUAAAGCGUGCGUAGGCGGCUUUUUAAGUCGGAUGUGAAAUCCCCGAGCUUAACUUGGGAAUUGCAUUCGAUACUGGGAAGCUAGAGUAUGGGAGAGGAUGGUAGAAUUCCAGGUGUAGCGGUGAAAUGCGUAGAGAUCUGGAGGAAUACCGAUGGCGAAGGCAGCCAUCUGGCCUAAUACUGACGCUGAGGUACGAAAGCAUGGGAGCAACA